CGUGGGCAACCUGCCUGUAAGUUGGGGAUAACUCCGGGAAACCGGGGCUAAUACCGAAUGAUAAAGUGUGGCGCAUGCCACGCUUUUGAAAGAUGGUUUCGGCUAUCGCUUACAGAUGGGCCCGCGGUGCAUUAGCUAGUUGGUAGGGUAAUGGCCUACCAAGGCAACGAUGCAUAGCCGACCUGAGAGGGUGAUCGGCCACACUGGGACU
rnacentral:rRNA from 1 species